CAAGUGUUUGAGCUGCUGGCUGGAGAUAAUCCAUUACUAUUUUUGUGCUGUGUUCGGGACCUCAAGUAGAUCAUUUAUAAACUAUUCACCAUGUGUUUUGGACAUUUCAAAAAUAAAUUAUAGCCGUUUAAAAAAAGUGAUAUUUUUCCCAUUGUUGUUCGAACUGUUUUUCCAUAAAACCAGAUAUUCUUUGUGUUAUUAUUCUGUUUCUGAAUUCGUUAUUGAAUUUGUGAGAAAUUACAAUCGUUUGUUUUGAAAUAUUUAGACAAAUUUAAAAACUCAUCAGUCACAUAUACAGAGAAUGCGUUGGGAAAAAGAAGAGGCGCGCGUGCAGAAGUGAGACCAUAGAAACGAAACGAACGCGACCCGCGUGAGAGGGAGAGAGAAAGAGAGGAAGAGAGUCUCUGGGGGACACCGAAUGUGUGUGUAUAUCAUCAGGGGUGUGCACUGUGCAUAUCAGAAAAACAGGGCCAUAGGCCGGCCAAUCUUGAUGUUCGAAAUCGUCGAUAGUGUUUUUAAGAUGAGGAAGAGUUGUUAUGAGCGCCGGUUUGGCGAAGAAUCAAAGGGAGGUUGUGUUCAAUACCACAAAACAUAGGAAAGAGUCAAAAUUCAACUCUAUUUGCACCGGGAUGGUUGCGAUCAAACGUAAAACCAACAACGCCGCACAUUUUGACGGCAACGCUUCGGAACUAUAUUGAUGAGUGUAUUGAACACGUAAUAGCAGUACUUAAACAAAACGGGAUUAGUCAAAUGCGCUUAAUUACAUGGGAAUCAUAUAUGCGUUCCUGGUGAGAAAAAGAAGGAUAGUUUCUCAACAAAAAAUGAAUAUCUUGAAACAUUUUAGAACAUUGCAUGAAGUAUCUGUCUUCUAUCUCUUCAGGAACACAAAAAUGGUUCGCAUUCCGCAAAAUCCUCGAAAUCAUUUAAAACCAAAACAUCAAAGUGUUUUGAAAUGGAUGAACUGAAAAAUUUGCCAGAAAACUCAUUACGAGUGAAGCGUAUAUCCAGAGCAGAAAAAGGCCUCGUCGAAUGCCACGUAAGACAUGGACUUGAAGAUGGUGAAUGUAUAACCUUUGUGCAGGUCCGAGGUAUGACUGGUUUAAAUGGACAGUAUUUUAAAAUAAAAUAAAUGAUUAAAAAUCGAAAAAUCGAUUUAUAUUGAUG